UACGUAGGUGGCGAGCGUUGUCCGGAAUCACUGGGCGUAAAGGGCGCGUAGGCGGCGGAGCAAGUCGCAUGUGAAAUUCCAGGGCUUAACCUUGGGGGGUCAUGCGAAACUGCUUUGCUUGAGUGCAGUAGAGGAAAGCGGAAGUCCUGGUGUAGCGGUAAAAUGCGUAGAGAUCAGGAGGAACACCGGUGGCGAAGGCGGCUUUCUGGCCUGCAACUGACGCUGAGGCGCGAAAGCGUGGGGAGCAAACAGG
rnacentral:rRNA from 1 species